GAGAGAGGCUCGCUAGCAACGAAAACUGCUAAUUUCCGCCCACCCUGGUUGAACUCCAGGGCUCACUCG
rnacentral:tRNA from 1 species